rnacentral:rRNA from 1 species
CGCGUAGGUGGUUCUGUAUGUCUACCGUGAAAGCGUACGGCUCAACCGUAUUUUGUCGGUAGAAACUGCAGGACUUGAGGCUGGGAGGGGCUGGUGGAAUUCCCUGUGUAGCGGCGAAAUGCGUAGAGAUGGGGGAGAACACUCGUGGCGAAGGCGGCCAGCUAGACCAGUUCUGACACUGAGGCGCGACAGCGUGGGGAGCAAACA